CAGGGAGGAGAGGUGGUCGCAGUCUGAGGUUUUCUCAGACUGAGGAAAGUCCAGGCUCCAAUGGGCAGGGUGCUGGACGCAAGUCCAGCGGGAGCAAUCCCGGGAAAGUGCCACAGAAACUACACCGCCAGAUUAAAUCUGGUAAGGGUGAAAAGGUGCGGUAAGAGCGCACCAGGGAUCAGGUGACUGAUCCGCUGGGCAAACCCCACCCGGAGCAAGGCCAAAUAGGAGGGCUCAGAGCCCGGUAGCCCUCGGGUAGGCCGCUUAGAUAGAUGACCACCGUUAGCACAGAACCUGGCUUAUCUCCUCCCUGCCUC
rnacentral:RNase_P_RNA from 1 species